rnacentral:lncRNA from 10 species
UGGCAUCUCUACCCCAAAGCCAAGAAAGAGAGAAUCCAGAGUCCUAUCUUUUAGCAGGUGACCUAGCCUAGGACAGGGCCUGGCCAGGGGCAAUUGUGCAUUGGAUGGAUUAGAGAUGCCAGUCAUUCAAAGGUUUGCCAGACCUGCAUACAAUCAACAUUAUUUUUAUUUAAUAUUUUUGUCUAAAGCAACUUUAAAAAUGUUAACCCUUUAUUUGGAAAUAUAGAUUCAGAGGAAAUUUCAAAGAUGGUACAGAGAGGUUUCAUGUACUUUUUACUCAGUUUCCUCCAAAGGUUCUAUUUUGUAUAAAUGUAGGACAAUAUCUAACAAUGUCACAUGACUAUGUCUAUGCCAUUUUAUCACAUAUGUAGACUCCUUUAACCACCGCUACGAUCAAGAUAGAGAACUGUUCCGACACCACGAAAAUUCCACUCCUGCUAUUACUCUGCACUCAUUCCUGGCUCUUCCCCUCCACUAUUCCUACUCCUGGCAACCACUAAUCUGCUUUCUGUCUUUAUAAUCUUCUCACUUCAAGAACAUUAUAAAAUGCAAAAAUUAGCCAGGCGUGAUGGCGUUAGCUUGUAGUUCCAGCUACAUGGAGGCUGAGGCAGGAGAAUCACUUGAACCUGGGAGGUGGAGGCUACAGUGAUCCUGCCAUUGCAAUCCAGCCUGAGAGACAGGGUGAGACUCUCAAUGAAUGAAUGAAUGAAUGAAAGAAGAUCUGGCAUGGUGGCUCACACCUAUAAUCCCAGUGCUUUGGGAGGCCGAGGCAGGUGGAACCGCUGAGGCCUGGAGUUUGAGUCCAGCCUGGCCAACAUGACAAAACGCUGUCUCUACUAAAAAUACAAAAAUUAGCCAGCAUGAUGGUGCGCGCCUGUACUCCCAGCUACUUGGGAGGCUGAGGUUUGAGACUGGCUUUUUAUUUUUUGUACUCAGCAAAUGCCCUUUGAGAUCCGUCCAAGUUGUGCAUGUUCCUUUUUAUUGUUUUUUUUUCUGUUUGAGAUGGAGUCUCGCUCUGUCACCCAGGCUGGAAUGCAGUGGCAUGAUCUCAGCUCACUGCAACCCUCCACCUCCUGGGUUCAGGCAAUUCUCCUGCCUCAGCCUCCUGAGUAGCUGGAAUUAUAGGCACCCACCAUCAUGUCUGGCCUUUUUUUUUUUUUUUUAGAUGAAGUUUUGCUCUUAUUGCCCAGUACAUAGGCAUGAUCUCAGCUCACUGCAACCUCUGCCUCCCGAGUUUAAGCAAUUUUACUGCCCCAGCCUCCUGAGCAGCUGGGAUUACGGGUGCCCCCCACCAUGUCCAGCUAUUUUUUUUGUAUUUUUAGUAGAGAUGGGAUUACACCAUGUUGGCCAGGCUGGUCUCAAACUCCUGACCUCAGGCAAUCCACCUGCCUUGGCCUCCCAAAGUGCUGUGUUUAUAGGCAUGAGCCAUCGUGUCUGGCCCCCUUUUUAUUGUUGAAUAGUAUUUCAUAGAAUGGAUGUAUCAGUUUGCUUAACCAUUCACCUAUGGGGGAGUAUUUGGUUGUUUCCAAUUUGGGGCUAUCACAAAUAAACCUGCCAUAAACAAUCAUGUAUGAGUUUUUGUGCAGACAUCAGUUUAUUUAUUUUCUGGUACAAAUGCCCAGAAGCAAUUGCUAGGUCAUAUAUUGAGGUGUAUGUUUAAUUAAAAAAGCUGCCAAACUAUUUUCUAGAGAGUCUGUACCAUUUUAUAUUCCCAUCAGUGAUGUAUGAGUUAG